GACGAACGCUGGCGGUGUGCUUAACACAUGCAAGUCGAACGGUAAGGCCCUUUCGGGGGUACACGAGUGGCGAACGGGUGAGUAACACGUGAGUAACCUGCCCUCAUCUCUGGGAUAACAGUCGGAAACGGUUGCUAAUACUGGAUAUGAGCUUGCAAGGCAUCUUGUGGGUUGGAAAGAUUUUUUUUGGUUGGGGAUGGACUCGCGGCCUAUCAGCUUGUUGGUGAGGUAGUGGCUCACCAAGGCUUCGACGGGUAGCCGGCCUGAGAGGGCGACCGGCCACAUUGGGACUGAGAUACGGCCCAAACUCUUACGGGAGGCAGCAGUGGGGAAUAUUGCACAAUGGACGGAAGUCUGAUGCAGCAACGCCGCGUGCGGGAUGACGGCCUUCGGGUUGUAAACCGCUUUCAAUUGUGACGAAGCUUUUUUGUGACGGUAGCAGUAGAAGAAGCACCGGCUAACUACGUG
rnacentral:rRNA from 1 species